rnacentral:lncRNA from 1 species
AUGUUACAGCAGACCUGCUGUGUUUUUGCCAUAAACCAGGCGACAGCGGCUGGAGCAUUCCAGUGCUCAUUUCCAAAGUUGAGCAUGUGUAGCUACUUCGUCAGCCUCAUCAUUCCUGUGGUCUGUGAUCAGUCCAUAAUCCCACAGUUAUUCUGAAUGCAACAGUUUUACUUCAUAUGUCUACAAGUAAAAAGGAAAGAGAAUGGCAAUGAAAUACUGUGUUCUGUAAUCUCAGCACUGACCAAAUACCAUAUACAAACCAGAGAUGCCUACUCACAAGAUUAAUCCUCCAACAUCUACAAGCUCUUUCAGCUGCAACAUGAACAAGCAGCAAGCUCAGACUCAGAUCUGCUUUGAAUUACUUUGGCAGCAACAGCCCUACGUGUUCAUGCUCCAAAAUGUGGUGUCCCUGCAAUGUGAUGGUACAUCUGAACUGGGAAGGGGAGGGUGUCAUGGUUUUAAGAUGCUUCCUAUUGCUGGAGAAAGACUGUAA